rnacentral:rRNA from 1 species
UACGUAGGGGGCAAGCGUUAUCCGGAUUUACUGGGUGUAAAGGGAGCGUAGGCGGCAGUGCAAGUCAGAAGUGAAAGCCCGGGGCUCAACCCCGGGACUGCAUUGGAAACUAUGUAACUAGAGUACCGGAGAGGUAAGCGGAAUUCCUAGUGUAGCGGUGAAAUGCGUAGAUAUUAGGAGGAACACCAGUGGCGAAGGCGGCUUACUGGACUGUAAAUGACGCUGAGGCUCGAAAGCGUGGGGAGCAAACAGG